GGAGGAAACCGCGCUUUGUUCUUGAGGUGUUCACGGAUAAUGAAGCUGAUGUGAGAGCCCUGGAGAGAAACAUCAGUCAAAGGCAUGCAGGGAAUCCCAUCCAGCGUCCCUCUACUCUCCUCUGCAGCUUCCAUGGUUGGAAUGCUGAGCCAUUGCUAGGACGAUGAGGCUACAGGAAAGUGAAAUGCACCUGCUGCGAUCUGAUCCAACUGACCACUCCUGCUGCUCCUCCCUUGCACCUCAGGCAUCUCCUUCCAAUCUGGAGGAAACACUUUUACCUCCACUUUUCUUUUACAGUCCUCCAAACUCUGUUCCUUCUAGGGAGCACAAGUACAGAAAUAGAAACCUGGACUCCCAUCAUCCUGCUUCACAAACUUACAAUGUUAAAGAAAGAAAAAAAAAAAGACCAAGUACAUUACCUGGUAGAAUUGGAGAGAUGGGCACGAAAGAGCUGUAAAUACAGUUAGAAAACACACUAGCAUUUACAAAUGUGUAUGAGAAACAAUGAGGAGGAUUUUCAGAGACUAUCAUAACCAUUUAUUUUUCUAAUAUGUGAUAAGUAAACGCACAGAAAAUCAAUUUAAUAUUUGGGGCUUUUAUUUCUCAUUUUUUAGAUUGCCAGAAAGACUGUCCAGUGUUAUAAAGUUUGUGUCAAUAUUCUGGAAUUGGCAAUUUUGUCAUUUAUAUGGGAGAAAUAGCUAAAGGUGUAGUAUAAAGUAUUUGCUCGUAGGUAAUGGAAUGUUACCUUUACCCAAAGAUAUAAAAAAUAAACGGUAG
rnacentral:lncRNA from 1 species